rnacentral:rRNA from 1 species
CGGACGGGUGAGUAACGCGUGAGAAUCUGCCCUUAGGACGGGGACAACAGCUGGAAACGGCUGCUAAUACCCGAUGUGCCGAGAGGUGAAACAUUUUAUGGCCUGAGGAUGAGCUCGCGUCUGAUUAGCUAGUUGGUGGGGUAAGGGCCUACCAAGGCGACGAUCAGUAGCUGGUCUGAGAGGAUGAUCAGCCACACUGGGACUGAGACACGGCCCAGACUCCUACGGGAGGCAGCAGUGGGGAAUUUUCCGCAAUGGGCGCAAGCCUGACGGAGCAAGACCGCGUGCGGGAGGACGGCCUAUUGGUUGUAAACCGCUUUUGAUAGGGAAGAAGUUCUGACGGUACCUAUCGAAUCAGCAUCGGCUAACUCCGUGCCAGCAGCCGCGGUAAUACGGAGGAUGCAAGCGUUAUCCGGAAUUAUUGGGCGUAAAGCGUCCGUAGGUGGUUGUUCAAGUCUGCUGUUAAAGCGUGCGGCUUAACCGCAUACCAGCAGUGGAAACUGGGCGACUAGAGUGCGGUAGGGGUCAGGGGAAUUCCCAGUGUAGCGGUGAAAUGCGUAGAUAUUGGGAAGAACACCGGUGGCGAAAGCGCCUGACUGGACCUGCACUGACACUGAGGGACGAAAGCUAGGGGAGCGAAAGGGAUUAGAUACCCCUGUAGUC